GGACUACAGGGGUAUCUAAUCCCGUUUGCUCCCCUGGCUUUCGCGCCUCAGCGUCAGUAGAGAUCCAGCGCGUCGCUUUCGCCACCGGCGUUCCUUCUGAUAUCUACGCAUUUCACCGCUCCACCAGAAGUUCCACGCGCCCCUACCUCCCUCUAGCCGGCCAGUAUCAGGGGCCAUUUUCCGGUUGAGCCGAAAGAUUUCACCCCUGACUUGGCAAGCCGCCUACGCGCCCUUUAAGCCCAGUGAAUCCGAACAACGUUUGCACGGUUCGUCUUACCGCGGCUGCUGGCAC
rnacentral:rRNA from 2 species